rnacentral:rRNA from 1 species
UUACGCUGUUAUCCCUUAGGUAAUUUAGUCUUAUAAUCAACAAAAAUGGAUCAAAUAUAUAUAAAUAAAUAUAAAAAAAUAAAAAGAGUUAAUUAAAUCUUUCCAUCACCCCAACAAAAUAAAUUUUCAAAUUAAAAAAAUAUCAUACAAAAAAAUAAAAAUAUAUAUAAACUCUAUAGGGUCUUCUCGUCCCAAAAAAAUAUUUAGGCAUUUUAACCUAAAAUUUAAAUUCAAUAAAUAAAUUAAAGACAGUUUACACCUCGUCAAACCAUUCAUUCCAGCCUACAAUUAAAAGACUAAUGAUUAUGCUACCUUUGCCGGUCAAAAUACCGCGGCCCUUCAAUACUCAGUGGGCAGGGCAUACAUAAAAUAUAUUCAAGAAGAGAUGUUUUUGAUAAACAGGCG